rnacentral:misc_RNA from 1 species
AAGUCGUAACAAGGUCUCCGUAGGUGAACCUGCGGAGGGAUCAUUACUGAGUGAGGAUGAUAAUACAUCCGACCUCCAACCCUUUGUGAACACAUCUUGUUGCUUCGGGGGCGACCCUGCCGUUCGCGGCAUUCCCCCCGGAGGUCAUCAAAACACUGCAUUCUUACGUCGGAGUAAAAAGUUAAUUUAAUAAAACUUUCAACAACGGAUCUCUUGGUUCUG